CACCCUCUCUCCUCUCUCUUACUUUUCCUCAGUGGCGAAUGAAAUAAUAAGUCGUCGCUAGCUUAGAUACGACAGCGACCGAUGGGAGCGGAUUUGAAAUCCGUAACGGCUUACUGUACCGUCAUCGCCGUUAUCUUACUGCUCUGCGGUGGCGGUGCGGCGGUGGAGGAGGAUGAGAACGAGUUCCACGGCGACUACUCGAAGCUUUCAGGUAUAAUCAUCCCCGGGUUCGCGUCAACGCAGCUGAGAGCGUGGUCGAUCCUCGACUGUCCUUACUCCCCGUUGGACUUCAAUCCUCUCGACCUCGUUUGGCUAGACUCCACUAAGCUUCUCUCUGCUGUCAACUGCUGGUUUAAGUGUAUGGUGUUAGAUCCUUAUAAUGAAACGGAUCAUCCCGAGUGUAAGUCACGCCCUGAUAGUGGUCUUUCAGCGAUCACAGAGUUGGAUCCAGGUUACAUAACAGGUCCUCUUUCUACAGUCUGGAAGGAGUGGCUUAAGUGGUGUGUUGAGUUUGGCAUAGAGGCUAACGCAAUUGUAGCUGUUCCUUACGAUUGGAGAUUGUCGCCAACCAAAUUGGAAGAGCGUGACCUGUACUUUCAUAAGCUCAAGUUGACAUUUGAAACUGCUUUAAAACUACGGGGUGGUCCUUCUAUAGUGUUUGCCCAUUCUAUGGGUAAUAAUGUCUUCAGAUACUUUCUGGAGUGGCUGAGGCUAGAAAUUGCACCAAAACAUUACUUGGAGUGGCUUGAUCAGCACAUCCAUGCCUAUUUCGCUGUUGGAGCUCCUCUUCUUGGUUCAGUUGAGGCAAUCAAAUCUACUCUCUCUGGUGUAACGUUUGGCCUUCCUGUUUCUGAGGGAACUGCUCGACUGUUGUCCAAUUCUUUUGCUUCUUCGUUGUGGCUUAUGCCAUUUUCAAAGAAUUGCAAGGGUGAUAACACGUUCUGGAAGCAUUUUUCUGGUGGUGCUGCAAAGAAAAAUAAGCAUGUAUACCACUGUACUGACGAGGAAUAUCAAUCGAAAUAUUCUGGCUGGCCCACCAAUAUCAUCAACAUUGAAAUUCCUUCCCCUGACGGCCUUGAUGCGUAUCCAUCAGUUACAGAAGCAGUUAAAGCCAACAUGACCAACAUGGAAUGUGGUCUCCCUACUCUAUUGUCUUUCACAGCCCGUGAAUUAGCAGAUGGGACUCUGUUCAAAGCAAUUAAAGACUAUGAUCCAGAUAGCGCGAGGAUGCUACACCAGUUAAAGAAGUUGUAUCAUGAUGACCCUGUUAUGAACCCACUGACUCCUUGGGAGAGACCACCUAUAAAAAAUGUAUUUUGCAUAUAUGGUGCUCAUUUAAAGACAGAGGUUGGCUAUUACUUUGCCCCAAGUGGCAAACCUUAUCCUGAUAAUUGGAUCAUUACGGAUGUCAUUUACGAAACUGAAGGUUCCCUCGUGUCAAGGUCUGGAACUGUGGUUGAUGGGAACGCUGGGCCUAUAACUGGGGAUGAGACGGUACCCUAUCAUUCACUCUCUUGGUGCAAGAAUUGGCUCGGACCUAAAGUCAACAUAACAAUGGCUCCCCAGCCAGAACACGAUGGAAGUGAUGUACAAAUCGAAUUGAAUGUUGAACAUGAGCAUGGGUCAGACAUCAUAGCGAACAUGACAAAAGCACCAAGGGUGAAAUACAUAACCUUCUACGAAGACUCUGAGAGUAUUCCAGGAAAGAGAACGGCAGUCUGGGAGCUUGAUAAAGCGAAUCACAGGAACAUCGUUAGAUCUCCAGUUCUUAUGAGAGAGUUAUGGCUUCAGAUGUGGCAUGACAUUCAACCUGGUGCAAAGUCCAAAUUUGUCACCAAAGCCAAGCGCGGGCCACUUAGAGAUGCGGACUGCUACUGGGAUUACGGGAAAGCAUGUUGUGCUUGGCAAGAAUACUGUGAAUACAGAUACAGUUUUGGGGAUGUUCACCUAGGACAAAGUUGUAGAUUGAGGAACACAUCUGCUAAUAUGCUGCUCCAGUACAUAUAGAUCUCCUCGUUCAGGUCACAACAAUUCCUUUCCCUCCCAGUAAGAGGAGAAAAAAGCUUCUAAACGUUGAAUUCUUAUUGGUUCUAUAUCUACACUUUUGCCUUCUCACGCAAAGGUAUUCUUUUGUGAUUUGUAGCUAGAGUGCAGUUACUUUGAAUUUUACGGCUAAACCCAUAUUAAAAGUCAGUUGGAUGAAAGGUGGCAAACUUAAUGCCUAACUAUCCAAAACCCAAACAGAUUGCAUGCUCUCACGUCUAUCAAAUCUCUGUUUAAGCUCUUGUUAACUAUGCAAAAAUUAAAGAUUAUAGUUUAUAUGAAAUUUGAGCUACCUAUAUGUAUUUGCCUCCAUUUUCAUCAAUAUGUUACCAGUUUUUUAAUUAACAUAUAAUCAAAUUUCUUCAAAUAGAUGUUAAAUACUGAACUUUAUAACUAUAAAUUUGAUUGUGACAAAAAAAAUAUGAGAACUUAUUUCAUAUAUAAAUUUAGAUUUUACUUUUAGACUUUUAUAUAUUUAGCUUUACACUAUAAUAUCUAUAUAUAUAUAUGAUUACUACAUCCUACUUGACAAUUGAUUGAGGUCGGGCCUUACAGUUAUUAUUGUCUAUUAUAUGUUUUAUGGUCAUAAUAGUAUGAAUUUUUCUAUAACAAGAUAAAUCCUAAAACGAAACUCAAACCAAUUACAAAAUAUAUAAACAAAUCAGAUUUUACAGUCAUUAAGGUGUUGGUUAAGUUUUGUAUUAAGUUGAUCAUUUCUUGAAUUUGAUAGUGUAGGUGAUAAUUAAUAAAUGAAUGAAAACGUAAACCAGGAAAAAGUCAUAACUGAAUCAAUAUUCUUUCUCCUGUUAUAUUUAGCGUGUGUGCGCGUCUCUUCAUUUACAUAUAACCACAAAUAGAAAGGGUUAAUUUUGACACCAAAGAAAUUAAUUGUAUUGUAAUGAUCUUGUGCCUACACGCAACAAAGUUGCAAGGCUUGUGGAUUAAAGUAUAGUAAAAGAUAAUGUACAAACGUGUUCUAAUCAAAAUAUAAUUUUUUUGAAUAGAAUUUAUUCUUGAUCAAACCGCAUUACGAAGUAACAGACUCGUUAAAAAAUGAAAUAUGUAUAAAUAAUCGCAUUGUCAAUUUAAAUGAUAGUCAUCAGACCUUAUACAUAUCGCACAGUGAUUAGAAUUGCUCAAAUCACUAAUAAAAACUUAAUUUUUGGAAAAUAAUAAGUAGUGGUUUGUUGCCUAAAUAUGAAAAAGAAGAUAUCCAUAUUCAUAUUAGAUUUAACUGAAGACAGAUUAGCAUAUAAAUUGACAUCUAAAAGUCAUCUUUUAUGAUUUUACAAGGAUUGGAUACCGAGUCCUGCAAUUUAGAUAUUUAUCACUUACUUCUGUAAGCUUUUAUGCCAAAAAAGCCAGUUUUUUCGAUAAAUAUGAUUCCUCACAAUUCUACAAUUAUCAAAAAGGAUAAUUCAGUCAAUUCCUCUUUGAUGGUAACCCAAAAUUGAAGAAACGGUAAAGGAAAAAAGGGUAAUCUAGUCAAUUCAGGGUGAGUGGCACUUUAGUAAUUUCCUAGAACGUCAAGGGGAAUCUAAGCACCCCGCCUCUAUAAAUUGUCAUAAUCUACCCAUUCCCGUGACCUUUCUGUUAUCCCUUCUUAUUCUUUCUCUCAAUCUAUUUUCCUCUCUCCCUCUCUCUAGACGCUCCGAUUAUUUUCUCGACAAAAAAAAUUAAAAAUCCAUAAUUUUCUUCCUUUUUUCACCCGAAUAUUUUGAUUUUACUGUUUUACGGCAGUUAAAAACAUUUUUCUUGUGUUGGGUGCUGACGUGGCAUGCAUUCAAUAGAGAAGCACAAUGAACACCAAAACGAUGCGUUUACCCCCACGUCGCGUUCUAACGACGGAAAAGCGCAAAGAAAGAGACGGCGUUAUCUCCUCCGUCGUGAAGCCGCCGGAAUCCACCGUGACGAAGUUUCCUCCACCGCCGAAUCUUGGUCCUCCGGCGGUUAAUUCCAUUUCCAAGAAAGCUCUAAUCGCAGCCGAGCCGGUCGGCUCGAACCAGCUAAUGUUAGCCGGUUACUUGAGUCACGAGUUUCUCACCAGCGGCACACUCUUCGGGGAGCAAUGGAAUCCGGCUCGAGCCCAAGCCUGUCCACCCGAGCCAAAGAAGGUGAAGCCGAACCAUGCAGUUGAGCCGGUUGAGGAAAGUGAGCCGAAACGGAAGCGGUACAUGGAAGUCGCUAAUCUCCUCAGGUCAGAUGGGGCCCACAUGCCCGGCAUCGUCAAUCCUGCCCAGCUUGCCCGAUUCCUCAAACUGUGAUCGGCGUAAUCCGGCGUACACGUGGAGGCAGCUCAUUGGUCCGUCGCCCAGCAAGCAAGGCAGCCCUAAAACCAGAAUCCGCCGCUCCUCUCUCUCUCUUAUCAUUUCUUUUUUGUUUUCAAAUCUUCUCGUAUGUAAAGCGCUGACUCUCUCUCUCUCUCUCUUUCAUCGUCUUCUUCCUCGAAAUCGAUCGAGAAAGUCCAGAGUUUGUUGUGAGUAAGCAGUACUCUGCGUGGUGAUCAUAGGAUUAACACCAAGAGCCGUAGGCAUCACACUCGCAUCACACACAUACAAACCCUCCGCCUCCCAGCUCUCUCCGUAUCCAUCAACAGCUCCUUCCUCCUCCGUCGCGCCCAUACGGCAACACCCCAUCUGAUGCGCCGUGAACGAAUGAGUCCACCACCUACUCAUCGACACAACUCCAGGCGGCGCAUCCACCGUCUCCAGAAACUUCUCCAGAUCCUCCUCCUCGACUCCAUCGCACCUCAACCUCUGCCCAUCGCUCCUAUACGUCCCCACCUCCUCAGCUCCCGCGGCGACCAAGAUCCUCAGCGCUCGCCUCAACCCCGUCGUUAGAUUCUCUUCGUCAGCUUUCGUUAAUUUGUAUUUCACAACGCCUCCCUUCACUUCCCCGACGCCUUCGUCUCUCACCAUAACGAAGAUGUGAGACGUUCUCGCGUAUUUGGCUAAUCUCUCCUUCAUGUCUUUCCCAGAGACCCACGGGACGAGAGCCGCGAAGGUCCCUGGGCCUAACGCUGGAGUUUCCAGCGUUAUGUUAGGUGUUGUGGAGUCUAUUUCGAACACGUAGUGUAACGAAGUCAUGAUCUCUCCCUCGUGAGCUGCUCCGUUGAAGCUCGAGUUUUUCUCAGGGAAGUAUCCCCACGCCAUUAGUAUAGGGUGGAUGUGGAGACCCCGACCGAUGUUAUGAUUCUUCAACCCGCUCGAAGAUAACAGCCCCGGUGUCAUAAGCGAGCCGCAUGCCACGACUGUCACUUUAGCAUUGAUCUCAAUCUUGUUUAUGGUUGUGUUUGAUAUCGAAGCUGUGACUCCCAAACAUCUUUUUUUUUUCCUUCGUCCAGUCUCUGUAUCAGCCAAGAUCAGCUUCUCAGCUCUGCACUGUGUUAGAAUCACUGCACUGUUGUCAACUGCAUCAACUAGCCAUGUUAUAUUCGUCCCUCUCUUAUCGCCAGUUUUGCAACCGAACGAGCAGCUACCGCAGUAAUGCUCCUCUGACGAGUUCCUCGGCACUACCGUCACAUCCAGCCCGAGCUUCUCGCAGCCUUUACGCAGUAUCUGGUUCUGAAAACCUUCUCUGAUGACUCUCUCAGUGACGCCUAUCCUCUUGCAAACACUCUCCAUAGCAGCUGUGUAUCCCUCUCUAGCGAAUGUUGCAAUACCUUUAUCAACUGACCAUUCUUCGAUGAUCGCGUCAGGUGUUUUCAACGAAGCCGCCCAGUUUACAACCGAGCCGCCGCCGAGAGUUGACCCCGCCAUGAACCUGAACCUCCCGUCGUGAGUCAUCAGCAGCCCGUUGGCUUCGAACAUCUCGAACAUGGAAGGGCCUUCGAGAGUUGAGUAGUCUUGCGGCACGAAGUAGUUCCCUUUCUCGACGACUAUUACCUUAAGGCCUGACUUCGCUAGGUUCGCUGCUGCGACUCCUCCUCCGCAGCCGGAGCCUAUUACCACUGCAUCGCACUCGAUCUUGAAAGUGUUGCUUUCUUUGUCCUCUUUGAGUUUAAGACCUUUGCUGAUCAUGAGUUGCUUGAUGGUUGCCUCGUCUUCUUUUGCGGUCUCGAUGAUUCCUUUCUCUAGAGGCCUUUGCUUGUGUUCCGUGUCCUCGUUUUCACCUAUGUCCACCUUAUAACCAAUUGCAUCCCAUGCAGGGUUCUCUGUAUUUUCAUUUGUCUGUUCAUGUGUAUUGAGUUAGUUUAUUAUACCAUGUUAUUGAAUAGAACAACACAUCAUCAUAACCAAACCAAUACUGUUGAAUUUAAAGUAUAUUAUUCAGAUGAUUCAUGUUUAUUA